UACGUAGGGUCCGAGCGUUGUCCGGAAUUACUGGGCGUAAAGAGCUCGUAGGUGGUUUGUCGCGUUGUCCGUGAAAACUCACAGCUCAACUGUGGGCGUGCGGGCGAUACGGGCAGACUGGAGUACUGCAGGGGAGACUGGAAUUCCUGGUGUAGCGGUGGAAUGCGCAGAUAUCAGGAGGAACACCGGUGGCGAAGGCGGUUCUCUGGGCCUUACCUGACACUGAGGAGCGAAAGCGUGGGGAGCGAACAGG
rnacentral:rRNA from 1 species